rnacentral:rRNA from 1 species
GACGAACGCUGGCGGCGUGCUUAACACAUGCAAGUCGAACGGAAAGGCCCUGCUUUUGUGGGGUGCUCGAGUGGCGAACGGGUGAGUAACACGUGAGUAACCUGCCCUUGACUUUGGGAUAACUUCAGGAAACUGGGGCUAAUACCGGAUAGGAGCUCCUGCUGCAUGGUGGGGGUUGGAAAGUUUCGGCGGUUGGGGAUGGACUCGCGGCUUAUCAGCUUGUUGGUGGGGUAGUGGCUUACCAAGGCUUUGACGGGUAGCCGGCCUGAGAGGGUGAACGGCCACAAUGGGACUACGAUACGGCCCAGACUCCUACGGGAGGCAGCAGGGGGGAAUAUUGCACAAUGGGCGGAAGCCUGAUGCAGCAACGCCGCGUGCGGGAUGACGGCCUUCGGGUUGUAAACCGCUUUCGCCUGUGACGAAGCGUGAGUGACGGUAAUGGGUAAAGAAGCACCGGCUAACUACGUG